rnacentral:lncRNA from 1 species
AAACAGAAGAAUCAAGGAGAAAAUGUGCAGGAGCAGUUAUUACAUAUUUUCUGGAUCUAAAUUCAGCCUGACCAAAUUUAAAAUUUGGCAACAUUUGCCGUUGGGAAUUAACUACACGAGAGACAAAUGUCAACCUACAGACAGUGGAAUGCAUGUGAAGAAUAUGGGUUUUGGAACUAAGAAUCAACAGCAAACCCUCUCCUCCUGGGCUUCAGUACCCCAGAAAGACAGUUGUGCUCUCUGGCUGAUGGGACAGAAGACACUUUUCUUACUUCCUACAAUGCUUCUCCAUCAAAAACUUCCAUUUUUUCUGCUUGAAAAAUAGGAAAAGCCAUCUGAUUAUAUAUGAUCUCUGCUGAUCUGCCUGAGAGGUAUGUGUAUAAAAAUUAUUACAUUUUGUAUUAGUCAUGGUUCUCUAGAGGGACAGAACUAAUAGGAAGAUUUAUAUAUAAAGAGGAGUUUAUUAAGGAGUAUUAACUCACACGAUCACAAGGUCCCACUACAGGCCAUCUGCAAGCUGAGGAGCAAGGAGAGAGAGUCCGAGUCCUAAAGGGGAACAACUUGCAGUCUGAUGUUCAAGGGCAGGAAGCAUCCAGCACCGGAGAAAGAUGUAGGCUCAGAGGUUAAGCCAUUCUAACUCCCCAGGUUCUUCUGCCUGCUUUAAUCUGGCCUCAC